UCAGUACGGCGAGUGAGCGGCAAAAGCUCAAAUUUGAAAUCUAGCACCUUCGGUGUUCGAGUUGUAAUUUGAAGAUGGUAACCUUGGGUUUGGCUCUUGUCUAUGUUCCUUGGAACAGGACGUCAUAGAGGGUGAGAAUCCCGUCUGAUGAGAUGCCCAUUCCUAUGUAAGGUGCUAUCGAAGAGUCGAGUUGUUUGGGAAUGCAGCUCUAAGUGGGUGGUAAAUUCCAUCUAAAGCUAAAUAUUGGCGAGAGACCGAUAGCGAACAAGUACAGUGAUGGAAAGAUGAAAAGAACUUUGAAAAGAGAGUGAAAAAGUACGUGAAAUUGUUGAAAGGGAAGGGCAUUAGAUCAGACUUGGUGUUUUACGAUUAUCUUCUCUUCUUGAGUUGUGCACUCGUAUUUCACUGGGCCAGCAUCGAUUCGGAUGGCAAGAUAAUGGCAGUUGAAUGUGGCUUCACUUCGGUGGAGUGUUAUAGCUUCUGCUGAUAUUGCCUGUCUGGAUCGAGGGCUGCGUCUUUUGACUAGGAUGCUGGCGUAAUGAUCUAAUGCCGCCCCGUCUU
rnacentral:rRNA from 1 species